rnacentral:rRNA from 1 species
GUGAGACAGGUGCUGCAUGGCUGUCGUCAGCUCGUGUUGUGAAAUGUUGGGUUAAGUCCCGCAACGAGCGCAACCCUUAUCCUUUGUUGCCAGCGRUYMGGYCGGGAACUCAAAGGAGACUGCCAGUGAUAAACUGGAGGAAGGUGGGGAUGACGUCAAGUCAUCAUGGCCCUUACGACCAGGGCUACACACGUGCUACAAUGGCGCAUACAAAGAGAAGCGACCUCGCGAGAGCAAGCGGACCUCAUAAAGUGCGUCGUAGUCCGGAUUGGAGUCUGCAACUCGACUCCAUGAAGUCGGAAUCGCUAGUAAUCGUGGAUCAGAAUGCCACGGUGAAUACGUUCCCGGGCCUUGUACACACCGCCCGUCACACCAUGGGAGUGGGUUGCAAAAGAAGUAGGUAGCUUAACCUUCGGGAGGGCGCUUACCACUUUGUGAUUCAUGACUGGGGUGAAGUCGUAACAAGGUAACCGUAGGGGAACCUGCGGUUGGAUCACCUCCUUA